rnacentral:rRNA from 1 species
AGUGGCGGACGGGUGAGUAACGCGUGAGAAUCUGCCUUGGGGUCGGGGACAACCACUGGAAACGGUGGCUAAUACCGGAUAAGCCGAUUGGUGAAAGAUUUAUUGCCCGAAGAGGAGCUCGCGUCUGAUUAGCUAGUUGGUGAGGUAAGAGCUCACCAAGGCAGCGAUCAGUAGCUGGUCUGAGAGGACGAUCAGCCACACUGGGACUGAGACACGGCCCAGACUCCUACGGGAGGCAGCAGUGGGGAAUUUUCCGCAAUGGGCGAAAGCCUGACGGAGCAAGACCGCGUGAGGGAGGAAGGCUCUUGGGUUGUAAACCUCUUUUCUCAGGGAAGAAGCUCUGACGGUACCUGAGGAAUCAGCCCGGCUAACUCCGUGCCAGCAGCCGCGGUAAUACGGAGGAGGCAAGCGUUAUCCGGAAUUAUUGGGCGUAAAGCGUCCGCAGGUGGCGAUUCAAGUCUGCUGUCAAAGCGCGGGGCUUAACUCCGUAAAGGCAGUGGAAACUGAAUAGCUAGAGUGCCGUAGGGGUAGAGGGAAUUCCCGGUGUAGCGGUGAAAUGCGUAGAGAUCGGGAAGAACAUCGGUGGCGAAAGCGCUCUACUGGACGGCAACUGACACUCAGGGACGAAAGCUAGGGGAGCGAAUGGGAUUAGAUACCCC